rnacentral:rRNA from 1 species
CAAGCGGUGGAGCAUGUGGUUUAAUUCGAUGCAACGCGAAGAACCUUACCUACUCUUGACAUCCAGCGAACUUAGCAGAGAUGCUUUGGUGCCUUCGGGAACGCUGAGACAGGUGCUGCAUGGCUGUCGUCAGCUCGUGUUGUGAAAUGUUGGGUUAAGUCCCGCAACGAGCGCAACCCUUAUCCUUUGUUGCCAGCGAUACGGUCGGGGACUCAAAGGAGACUGCCGGUGAUAAACCGGAGGAAGGUGGGGAUGACGUCAAGUCAUCAUGGCCCUUACGAGUAGGGCUACACACGUGCUACAAUGGCGCAUACAAAGAGAAGCGACCUCGCGAGAGCAAGCGGACCUCAGCAAGUGCGUCGUAGUCCGGAUCGGAGUCUGCAACUCGACUCCGUGAAGUCGGAAUCGCUAGUAAUCGUGGAUCAGAAUGCCACGGUGAAUACGUUCCCGGGCCUUGUACACACC